UACGUAGGGUGCGAGCGUUGUCCGGAAUUAUUGGGCGUAAAGAGCUCGUAGGCGGUGUGUCGCGUCGGCCGUGAAAACCUGCAGCUUAACUGUGGGCUUGCGGUCGAUACGGGCAUCACUGGAGUUCGGCAGGGGAGACUGGAAUUCCUGGUGUAGCGGUGAAAUGCGCAGAUAUCAGGAGGAACACCGGUGGCGAAGGCGGGUCUCUGGGCCGAUACUGACGCCGAGGAGCGAAAGCGUGGGGAGCGAACAGG
rnacentral:rRNA from 1 species